rnacentral:rRNA from 1 species
AUCGAUAUGAAUUUAAUUUUGGUUCUGAUUGAACGUUUUUCAGUAGUUUUAAGACAUGCAAAUCGUUGUUCCUAACAGUUUAUCUUUAUGUUUUAUUUAUGAAGGGUUUUAGUCCCCCUUUCUGUUCCUUUCCUGUGAUUGAAUGGGAAUCUCCUAAAAGUCUACCCCUUUGUAGACAAAAAAUAAAGAUAAAAAAUAAGAAUAAGGUGUAAAGGUGAGUAUUUUAAAUUAGAUACCUUAUAGACUCCUUAAUUGGGAGAUAAUUUUAUUUCAAAAAUCCUCCCCUCCGUAUUCUUGGAAAAAUUUUCUGUUCUGUUCUUUUCUUUUCUUUUCUUUUCUUUUUAGCCCUUAUUCUAAAACUAAGAAAAAAGAAGGGCUAAGAAUUAUAGAAUAAAAAACUACGGCCUACGGAGAGGAUGAUUAGAGAUACUUAUUAGGGUAAUAUAAAAGAACAGUCAGUAGGCCACACCUGCUAGUCUUUUCUCAUUACUGGUUGUAGAGGGUCUCCCUCCUACGUUUCUUAAUCAAAGAGUAAUAAGGGGGAGUCCCUAUGGAGAGUAGCGUCUGUUACUUUCGCUACAUAUGAAUUCCUUGUAAUUUCAUCCUAAUAAGGAAAGUAAAAUAUAAAUUAGCUAUUUAUAAAAAAAAGGGAAAUUUUCUGCUAUAAGAUUCGAUUUAUUUUGUUUAAAGGUAGUUGGUGGGGUAAAUGCCUACCAAGCCUACGAUCAAUAGCCAUGUUUGAUAGAGCAGAUGGCCACAUUGGGAAUGGAAAGCCCCAAGUAGUGAAAACUACCAGCAGUCAAGAAUAUUAGUCAAUGCUCGCAAGAGUGAACUAGCUAACUGAAAUCACAUGAUCCAUGCUUUAUGUUGGUUAUUGUGAUAACGUAAGGGAAAAAAAUGAUAUUACCUUACUAUUAGUGUUGUCCAAAACUGGUGCCAGAAGACUCGGUAAGGCCAGAGACGCGAACGUUAGUCGUCCUAAUCAGGCGUAAAGGGUGUGUAGGCUGCUUUCAAAAUCAUAUCUUUCAAAUAGCUAUUAUAACGAAGAUCUGUUUAAAGGCAAUAUACUUUAAAUAUCUUCAUUCUAAGGUAAAGAUAGGAUGAAUAAAAGCUAGAAUCAAAACGAGGAUAAGCCAAAUAAUACUUAGAGUAGGGAUGAUAUCCGUAGAUACUAAGUGGAAUACUAAAAGUGAAAACUAUUUAUCUAGAAAUGAUUGACGCUGAGAAACGAAGGUGAGAAUAGGAAAUAGGAUUAGAUACCCAGAUACCUCUCACUGUCAACGAUGAAUGGUGGUUGUUAGUUUAUAGAAGAACUAGUAACGAUGCUAACGCGAUAACCAUUCCGCCUUGCGAGUACGGUUGCAAAACUGAAACCAAAAAAAUUAGUCGGUCUCGAAGCAAACGAAGUGAAGCAUGUUAUUUAAUACGAUAAUACGCGUAAAACCUUACCAGUUCUUGCAUAUCCAGUCCUUAAUCUUAAGUGGUUCUAAAUGUCAAUUUAGUCCUAUUUAAGGUUAAAGAUUGAGUAGUUUCUUGACCUCAAGAAACUCGUUUACAGGUGUUGCAUGGCUGUCGUAAGUCCGUGCCGUGAGAAGUGAGGUUAACUCCACUAACGGACGAAAUCCCUGUUGUUAAUUUAUACUUAACAAUUAAUGAAUUUGACAAUUUUUCAUUUGGGGCUAAGACAAGCCGUUAUGGCCCUCAUGAACUGGGCUAUCGACGUGCCACGAGAACUUUUACAAAGUGACGCCAAAACCUAACCUCUAUACUAAUGCAAUAUUUUAGUUAAUAUUUAAAAUAGAAUAAAUAUAAAUUAUACUUUUUUAAAUAAUAAGGUUUUAAGGAAUAGCUAAUCAUUAAAGAAAGUUAAAUAACCAAAUAUAUGGACGGAUUGCCGCCUGAAAUUCGGCGACAUGAAGAAGGAAUUUCGAGUAAUCGUUGAUCACUAGCGCAACGGUGAAGAAUGCAUUCGGGAUGAACUAACUGUCUGUCGCUGGGAAGGAGCUUGAAUUGGGGGAAACUGCCGCGAAGUUAUUCUUUUUUUAAGGCAAACCUAAUUUAAUAAUAUCAGCAAGCCCUACGAAGUACGAAGUACGAAGUACGAAGUACGAAGUACGAAGUACGAAGUACGAAGUACGAAGCCAAGGGUUAUUUAUUAUUAAGUAAAUUAAAUUUUUUUAAAUUAAGGGUAGUUUUAUGCUAAGCUUUAAUUUUAGAAGUAAUUCUAAUUUAAAGUAUUAGUCAUUUAAAUAUAAGUAUAAAUAUUAAAAAAAAAACACCUUUCUUAAGAUAAUUAGUUUCAGUGAACCCUUUUAAGUAACAUCUCAAAAGUCAUAGCAAGGUAGCUGUACUGGAAAGUGCCGCUGGAAAAUAAAUAAU